GUGCUUGCAUCAGCAGCACAUAUGCUAAAGUUAGAAUGAAACAGAGGUUAACAUAGUCCCUAUGCAAGGGUGAAAUGCAAAAUCAUGAAGAAUUCUUUAUUUUA
ensembl:snRNA U6 U6 spliceosomal RNA